AUACGGAGGGUGCAAGCGUUAUUCGGAAUCACUGGGCGUAAAGGACGCGUAGGCGGGUUGGCAAGUCAGAUGUGAAAUCCUACAGCUUAACUGUAGAACUGCAUUUGAAACUGCUAAUCUAGAGUAUGGGAGGGGGAGAUGGAAUUAGUGGUGUAGGGGUAAAAUCCGUAGAUAUCACUAGGAAUACCGAAAGCGAAGGCGAUCUCCUGGAACAUAACUGACGCUAAGGCGUGAAAGCGUGGGGAGCAAACAGGAUUAGAAACCCUAGUAGUCC
rnacentral:rRNA from 1 species